GGAUGUAAUUCGCACAGAACCUAUAAUAGUGCGAUUGCACUGUUCACUUACACAGUACUUAAAUGGUCCAGUGCCAACUGUGGAUGUAUUUCAGAUCUCUACUAAGGAAAGAUUUGGGCUGGGACAUCAGCUAAAAAAAAUCAUGCAGACAUUUGUUACACAACAGUGGAAGAACAGCAAAGAGAAAUCUAAUUGUAC